GGCUCAAUGGUCUAGUGGUAUGAUUCUCGCUUUGGGUCUGUUCCGAGCAUGCGAGAGGCCCCGGGUUCGAAUCCCGGUUGAGCCC